UUGCAUUCAACACAUUUGGGGUUUUACACGCACUUACUAUUUCCGCCAAAUUCGUGUUUUGCAAUCCUGAGCAAAUGCAGUUAAUUUAUCAUAGGUUAAUGGGAUCUACUUAAGACUCCACCUAGUAUUUGUC